GUACACGCUGUGACUAGCAUAUCAAUAAGCGGAGGAAAAGAAACUAACAAGGAUUCCCCUAGUAACGGCGAGUGAAGCGGGAAGAGCUCAAAUUUGAAAUCUUAAAGGGUUUCCCUUUACGAAUUGUAGUUUAAAGAAGUGUUUUCUGUUGAGGUUUUGGUAAGAGUUCUUUGGAAUAGGACAUCAUAGAGGGUGAGAAUCCCGUAUUUGACCUUUACUUUCAACUUUGUGAUACACUUUCAAAGAGUUGGAUUGUUUGGGAAUGCAGUCCAAAAUGGGUGGUAAAUUUCAUCUAAAGCUAAAUAUUGGCGAGAGACCGAUAGCGAACAAGUACCGUGAGGGAAAGAUGAAGAGAACUUUGAAAAGAGAGUUAAACAGUACGUGAAAUUGUCAAAAGGGAAGCGUUUGACACCAGUGUUGUUUUUCUGAAAAUCAAUUAAAGAACUGUUUAUGCUAAGCUGUUUAGACUUUAUCAGCUAACUGUUUAGUUUUGAGCUUUUCUUUAAUGCACCUUUUCAGUUAACAAGUCAACAUCAAUUUCUUUUGCUGUAAAAAAGCUUGAGGAAGGUGGCUUGAGAUUCGUCUUAAGUGUUUAUAGCCUCUUGCCUAUGCAGUCGGAGAGAUUGAGGUCUGCAGCGUAGAUCCUUCGGGGCUAAAUGCAUUUGUGCUAAGUUAUAGCAUUUUAUAGACAACUUGUUGACUAUGAUUUGUCUUGUAGCUUACUCGCUUAUGUUAUUUUACCUACGCUUAGGAUGUUGAGUCGUAGAGCACGCAG
rnacentral:rRNA from 1 species